rnacentral:rRNA from 1 species
GAGUUUGAUCCUGGCUCAGAUUGAACGCUGGCGGCAGGCCUAACACAUGCAAGUCGAGCGGCAGCAGCUCCUUCGGGAGGCUGGCGAGCGGCGGACGGGUGAGUAAUGCAUGGGAACUUACCAGUAGUGGGGGAUAGCCCGGGGAAACCCGGAUUAAUACCGCAUACGCCCUGAGGGGGAAAGCGGGCUCCGGCUCGCGCUAUUGGAUGGGCCCAUGUCGGAUUAGUUAGUUGGUGGGGUAACGGCCUACCAAGGCGACGAUCCGUAGCUGGUCUGAGAGGAUGAUCAGCCACACCGGGACUGAGACACGGCCCGGACUCCUACGGGAGGCAGCAGUGGGGAAUAUUGGACAAUGGGGGCAACCCUGAUCCAGCCAUGCCGCGUGUGUGAAGAAGGCCUUCGGGUUGUAAAGCACUUUCAGCAGGGAGGAAAAGCUGGCGGUUAAUACCCGUUAGUGUUGACGUACCUGCA